rnacentral:rRNA from 1 species
UACGUAGGGGGCAAGCGUUGUCCGGAAUCAUUGGGCGUAAAGCGCGUGUAGGCGGCUCGAUAAGUCUGCUGUGAAAGUCCAGGGCUCAACCCUGGGAUGCCGGUAGAUACUGUCGAGCUCGAGUCCGGAAGAGGCGAGUGGAAUUCCUGGUGUAGCGGUGAAAUGCGCAGAUAUCGGGAGGAACACCAGUAGCGAAGGCGGCUCGCUGGGCCACACCUGACGCUGAGACGCGAAAGCUAGGGGAGCGAACAGG